UCUUAUGGAUGAGCAAAAAAAGUAGCUUCUUCAGAAGGAAACUAUUCCUGGUGAAGAUGCUGAGAG
rnacentral:pre_miRNA from 1 species